CGGGUGGGCAGGAGGACAUAGCAAAAUGAGGAGGGGGCGCGGGGGACAGCGGCUGAAUUGGGAAAGAUACAAGGACGUUUUAGGAGCUCUCUGUGGGUAUGAGCUGGGAGAAAUAAUCCUUGUAUGCUGAUUUAUUAUCUUCCAUUUUAGAGGCAGCAGGCUUUUGUACAGUGGGUUAUUGCAGAAUAAAUGGGACAUUAAAGAUAUAAUCAAGAUGUUUAAGGCAUACUGAAUGAUAUUAAAGUAGGUGAGACUUUUUGUCAUGGUCUGUAAAUAUAAAAAUGUCAGCGGCUUGGAGAUGUUUCCAGGGUUUUAGUUAAGGUGUGGCUCCAUUUCCAAAAGGAAGAUAUUUUUAACCUUUUGUUGUUUUCAGGGUGGGGUAGGGUGGGGUCAGGAAGUGAUUUAGAACCUAUGUUGUUGUUGGGUACCGUUGAGUCGAUUCAGACCUAUAACCUACAACCAACCCAAAACCAAAUCCGUUGCCAUUCUGACUCAUAGUGACCCUAUAGGCAGAGUAGAACUGUCCCAUAGGGUUUCCAAGGUUGUAAAUCUUUCUCCACAGAGCGGCCGCUGGGUUAGAACUGCUGACCUUUAACCAAGGGCUUAAACCACUGUACCACAAAGUUCCUUCUGUACAUCUCAGGGUAAGCUAAUUCCAGAGUUUUGGGUGUGGAGCUGAGAAACAUUCUCUAGUUUUGUCUCCUGGGGUACUUGGGUGGGUCAUGCAGUGCCACUAUUUUGGUGGGAGCCAGCAGUCCUCUGGCUACCAUUGUUGUUACCAGCUGCUCCCAGGAGGAAUCGCUACCCAGAUCAGCUCAGACAUUAAGAUAGCAAGAGCCCAGCAUCCUGCUGAAGCCCAGAUUUAGGCUCUAGGAUUAUCCCUGUGCACCAAUAACAUUCUACCAAAUUGCUAGAGACUUCCUGUAAUCCCUUGACACCAGGUACAGAGAAAGAAGGAGAAUUUUCCUUUCUAAAUCUAAAGCUAAUUUAGAGAAGUAGGCCUAUGGGAGUCUGCCCAAAGAGCCUUCCCUUUGACUUCUGUAUCCAAGAUUCCAAAGCUUUGGCUGAGAAAUUUCUCCCAGAGGAAAGCUGCGAGAAAAAAAAAAAAAAAAAAGAUUCUUUUAUUACGGUAAAAAUAUAUAUAACAAAACAUUUUGCCACUUCAACAUUUUUUACAUUAAUUACAUUCAUCAUAUGCAGCCAUCACCACUAUUUCCAAAUUUUUCCAUCACACUUAGCAGAAAAUCAGAGCCCCCUAAUGCCUCCCCCUCCUCCCUCUGUCCCACUCCUGGUAACCACUAAUGAACUUUGGUCUCUAUACAUAUGCCUGUUCUAGGUAUUUCACAUAGGUGGGUCAUACGAUAUUUGUCCUUUUUUGCCUGACUUAUUUUUGCUCAGCAUGUUUUCAAGGUUCAUCCAUGUCUGAUUUUUUUUUUUUUACUGAAUUGGUGUUCCUUUCCUCUUCAGUGCACAAUUGCAUUGCCAGAUAGGUAGUCUCAAAUCUUUCAGUCUUAAUGUUUUUUGUGCCUUGUUUAGAAAGAUCUUUCCCAAGUGAAGAUUAUAUAGAUAUAUUCGAAGUCUCUGGGUGGUGCAAAUGGUUAACACCUGGGCUGCUAACUGAAAGGUUAGAGGUUCGAGUCCACCCAGACACCUCGGAAGAAAGGCCUGGUGAUCUACUUCCGAAAAAUCAGAUGUUGAAAUCCCUAUGGGGCACAGUUCUAGGCUGCACACUUGGAGUUGUCUGUAUGACAACUUAAACUUUUAUAGGUUUUUUUGUUGUUGUUACAUUGUUUAUUUGCAUUUAGUUCUUUCAUCCAUCUGCAGCGUGUUUUUGUGUAUGGUGUGAGACAGUGAUCUGACAUUUUUUUCUUCUAUAAAAAUUAAACCAAAACAAAAAGAACACCAGUUGCCGUUGAGUUGCUUCUGGCUCAUACCAAUUUUUCCCUGUUUUUUUCUUUAAAUAAACUUUAUUCAGAAUAGUUUUAGAUUUAUAGCAAAGUGGCAUGGAUAGUACAGACAGCUCCUAUAUAACCCAAUCUGCUGUUUUUUGAGUAGUUUCUCUGCUUUGAAAGGAUAUUUUUACCCGGGACUAAAUUUCCACAUGUAUACAGAUGUCUUUCUAGAAUCUCACUUGUAUGCUAUUGCUCUCUUUGCCAUUUUUAAUGAUACCUGUAUUAUUAUUUCUAGAGAGUUCAUAGUUUUUGACAGGGAACUUGAGGUCUCAAAGGGCUUUAAGAGGUCAAGUCUAACUUCUCUUCAGGCAAGUAAAGUGUUAUCAACCCUGGCUUAUGGAUAUUGUUGCUGCUGAGAUCACACAGCUAGUGAAUAGGGAGGGGUGUGGUCAUGGAUUAUAGGAGCCCUCAUGGCGCAAUGGUUAAGCACUUGGCUGCUAACCAAAAGGUCAGCAGUUCUAACCCACCAGCUGCUCCGUGGGAAAAAUACGUGGCAGUCUGCUUUCGUAUUUCCACCUGGGGCGGUUCUGCUCUGUCCUGUAGGGUCGCUGUGACUCAGAAUCGACUCAACAGCAGUGGGUAGUGGUGGGUGAUCAUAAAUUUCUCAUUUUAUAUAUGGAAUGCCCUUUCCUCUGAGCCAAGCCUGGGGCACAAUAGUAAGGAUGAGGCUCUGGAGCAGAAUUUCCCAUCCUCAGCACCAUUGAGAUUGGGGCUGAAUAAUUCUUUGUUGCGGGGGCCAUCUUGUACAUUAUAGGAUGUUUAGCACUAGAUACCAGUAGCAUCACCCCACUCAUGACAAUCAAAAAUGUCUCCAGACAUUGCCAGAUGUGUCAUGGGGGGGCAAAAUUGUCCCUGGUUUCGACCCACUGCUCUGGAGUCAGAGUAUGAAUGUGGCUCCAGGAUUCAAUAGUCGUGUGCUCUGGUUUCCUCCCGUACAGAGUACAAAUAAAAAUGGUGCCCAUCUCCUAGGAUUGUUGUGAGGACUCAACUCAGAGGGGGCCCUAGUAGGACAGACUCGAACUCAAUGUUAGCUGUUAAUAUUUUAAAUAUUCUUUAUUUUCAAUCUCCUAAUCAACACAGACUUCCCAUUUUCCCUCCACCUCCCUGCCUUCCCCACCAAGGAGCAAGUGUUUUUAAACCUGAACAAUGUUCACCAAAAAAUUAUAUGUCUUUGUUAAUGAAAUGGAACUCUAUUUUCAGGCCUCCACUGUUGUUGUUGUUAGGUGCCAUCGCUUCCGACUCAUAGCAACCCUAUGCACAACAGAAUGAAACACUGCCCGGUCCUGCACCAUCCUCACAAUCAUUGCUAUGUUUGAGCACUGUGUCAAUCCAUCUCAUUGAGGGUCUUCCUCUUUUUUGCUGACCCUUUUUACUUUACCAAGCAUGAAGUCCUCGAGGGACUAGUCCCUCCUGAUAGAGUGUCCAAAGAGAGUGAGAUGAAGUCUUACUAUCCUUGCUUCUAAGGAACAUUCUGUCUGUACUUCGGAGACAGAGUUGUUCAGGCCUCCAUAACGGCUAAUUAAUUAGCUCUCAUGAUAAACUCAUCGGCGCUCGUGUGAAUUUUAUUUGCAGCUACAAAACAGCAAUUCCAGUUAGUUAACAGGCUUUAAAGUGACAAUCCAGCUCUGUGGAGCAGCAGAAAGGCCCAGAAAUGAUUUUUGAAGCAAGACGGUAAUGACAGUGGGGAAGACAGAAAUCUAGGAUAAGGAGAAGACUGAGGAUUUCCUUGAUUCAUUAACUUGAUGGCUUUGGGAAUGCUGUGUUCAUUUACCAUUAAAACACACCAUCAUCUUGCAAUGGAUGGAAGACUCGUCCUCCCGCAAUUCAUGUUACUUAGUCGCUCAGAAAGAGAAAAAAAUUCUUUUUUUGCCUUUUGUAGCAGCAGAUUUUGUAAGACCAUUAUGUCUGCUAUUAAGUUUGCCCAAGAGCCCCUUUAGGAGGGAUGGUUAUUUCUAGUGUGUAAGAAGACCUGGCUGAUGAUGGAGGGUUGGUUUAAAGGGAUGAGGGCCCUGGUUUAAAGAGGAGAAGGGAGUGCCCUGGUCUUGGGCAGCACAUGCUAUAGGGCAGGUAAGUCUCAUUAGCUUGGCAAUCUUUGUAAACCAAAAACCCGUUCCAACUCAUUGUGACCCCAUGUAUGUCAGAGUAGACUUGUGCUCCAUAGGGUUUUCAGUGGCUGAUUUUUUGAAAGUAGAUCUCCAGGCCUUUCUUCCGAGGUGCCUCUGAGUGGAUAUGAACCUUCAACCUUUUGGUUAGUAGCAGAGUGUGUUUAUUGUUUGCACCACCCAGGGGCCUGGAUGACUUUGGUAAUUCAUUCAGCCAGUGCAGCAGAGUGGUUAGAAGCCUGGUUCUGGAGUCGGAAUAAUGAGAUUGAAAUCCCAGUUCCCUACCCUGCUAGUUACGUGGUCUUCGGCAAGUCACUUAACCUUUCCAAGCCUCAUUUUUGCCCAUCUAUAAUAAAAAAAAAAAAAAAAAAAAUUUUUUUAAUAAUAAAAUAAUGUUAAUAAUAGUACCUAUCUCAUAGCUUCACUGUGCAUUUUAAGUGAGAAUUCAUUUAGACCAAUGGUUGGUGCAUAGUUAGCACUCAAUAAAUCUCAGCCGUUAGGAUAAUAGCUAUUAUUAUAAUUAUUCAGCUUUUGGUGAAUGUUUGUAUUCUUUCCGUGAGCCAUUGUGAGCCAGUGUGAGACAUUAUGCUAAGGGCUGGGGGUGCACUGAGGUAAAAUACAUUAUCUGCCUCGGAAAAGCUCACCCCUGGAGAUGGGAGAGAGAGUAAUCUUUGGGCAGAGAUGAACACUGAGGACUGUGAACGUAGGGAAGGGAGUAAGAGGAGCCUUUCAGGAGAUGGUGACCCUAAUGAAAUGACUACUACCCACAGUCUGGUAAUUCAAUAACUACAAAGUGAAUGGAGCCUGAAUACAGGCAGGGCCACAACACACUGGCAGAGGCAGUGAAGACCGUUAGAAACCUAUGUGGAGCUUCAAAAAAAAAUUUUUUUUAAUUACAAAAUAAGAAACAAUGACCAAGUUUGAAAUGCACAGUCUGCAAGACCAGAGAGAAAAGUCUCACCUACUCAUAGUGAGUCAUGCCUUGACAUGGUUUUUGCAGACUUUAAGCCUGUUUGUGUCAGGCCCUGAGUCCCUGUCUUACAGGGCACCCUGAGGUGCUGGGUACCGGGUGCAUGGGCUGCUGUGAUAUUUGUUUGGUGAGGUGUGCUUCAUCAAGUCUGUCUUCUUGCAAGAACUCACCUGGUAGUUAGAAGGGGAUUUUGUUUUGUACAAAGGGCUGUCGAAGUUCAUUGCUGAGGAUUAGCCCUGUAGUUUCUUGCUAUUGGCAAAGGUGUGGACCCUGCUUUUUUUUUUUUUUUAACAUUUCUAUGCCUCUUGGGCUACAGGUAGGGAUCCCAAUGAGAUAAUUAUCCAAACUCAAAAAAAAAUUAAAGUGCUCUAUAAAAGACUCUCCUGUCAUCCUUUUUUAUUGUCCAGCUUUCACAUGCAUAUGAAGUAAUUGAAAAUAUCAUGGCUUGGGUCAGGUGCACCUUAGUCCUCAAAGUGAUAUCUUUGCUUUUACAAUUUAAAAGAGGUCUUUUGUCACAGAUUUGCCCAAUGUAAUAAUGCUGUUUGAUUUCUUGACUUGCUGCUUCCAUGGGCGUUGAUUGUGGAUCUAAGUAGAAUGAAAUCUUUGACAACCUCAAUUUUUUUUUCACUAUAUAGAUUUUUUUUUUUUAUCACACUUUAGAUGAGAGUUUACAGAGCAAAUUAGUUUCUCAUUAAACAAUUAAUACACGUAUUGUUUUGUGACAUUGGUUGCCAACACCAUGACAUGUUAUUAUUCCCUUCUCGGCCUUGAGUUCCCUAUUACCACUCAAUUUUCUUUUUUAAUUUUGUUUAUAGUGAGCAUAUACAAUAAUUUGGAUCGAUCUCCUUUAUACCUUUUGGGAGUAAACUGUUAGAUUGGAAUUAAUUUAGCUUUGAAAGAAGUACCCCGGUAACUUUUUUUUUUUUUGGCAAAAUCUUAUUUAUAUCAACUUUUGGGUUAGUUUUUACUUUUCCCUCAAAUGGUGGGAAAAACAUAAAAGGAAGUGAAUUUUAGAAAUAAAAACAAAUAGCUCCUCUAGCAUCAUGCACCGUGAUCAAAUUUGGUGUGGAUUUCUUUGAGGUUUGCUUUUCAUAGGACAAGUUAUACACUUGCCCAACAGUUAUACAACUGAGCUCAGUUUUAAAAUUCAGCUUUUUAUUGAUUUAAUUCAACCACAGUUUUCCUGGGCUCUGCUCUGGGGACAUGCUAAGAAUGGGGAGAAGCAGUAGUGUUGAUGAAUGUAAAUGGUCAGUGGUUUAAAGGCCUUCCCAUUGUUCUUGUUUUCGUGUGUUCUGAAUACAAAUCUCAUGAAGUUGACAAAACAGCUCCUAGUGCAGAGUAAGAGCUGGUAAAUGGGAGGCAAUUACACUGCUGAGCUGCUCUGCCUUGUUCUCCUUUCUGGCUGAGAAGCGGUUCCAGCUGUGCAGUUUAACUUCAUCUUGACCUGGGUGUUUCAGUCGCAUAUGAGCAAGCAGUUGCCUCAUUUGAGAUGUAGACUUUAGGGGCCUGGAGACUGGAGGGUCUGGGUGACUGACUGGGCGCCGUGGGAGGUGGGGCGUGGACUGUGGUGGCUGCAGAGGUUCUCCGUACAGAUCCUCGUGGCCUCUGGCUCUGGACUUUCUGUGCCAUAUGGUGACUGUUCAGGGAGCUUGUAGGGAGGAGAGGGUAGGAAAGUGAUCGGGGGCCAGAGGGGAUCUUUCAGAGGGCAGAGGCAAGAAGUUGUUAAUCAUAGUAAAAACCUAGAAUUUGUCAUCACAAAAUAAUCAAGAAAUGUUUUCUAAUUGUCCACCAUGGGGAAGGCACUAAUGGUGUGGGGAGAAGGGUAAAAGGUCGAAAAUAUCAUCCCUGUUUUUGAGAAUUUCAGUUUCACAAUUGAUGGAUGCAAGCCCCCCUGGGAGCAAAUGUUAAAUUGCGUGGUUAGAUGAUGGAUAUCCCAGGGCUAUUUCUUGCUCUCCUCCACACCCAGCCACAAUAUUUUUAAAAAAUGCAUUCUGGAUCAUACCCCUUCCCUGUUUCCUCUGUCUUAGGAGUCUGUCUAGGCCUGUCUUAAAACAUGCCAUUCUCAGUCUUCUCAGUUAUCCGCCCUAGCAGAGGGGCCCUAUACUGAUUUCUUUGAGCUGCUGUAACAAAUGAUCACAAACUGUGUGGCUUAAAAUAACAGAAAUUUAUUUGUUGGAGAUAGGAACUCAAAGUCAAGGUGUUGGCAGGGCCCUGUUCUGUCUGAAGGCUCUGGGGCAGAAUCUGUUUUGUGCUGUUCCCUUAGCUUCUAAUGUUGCCGGGGAUCCUUGGCUUGUAGAUGUAUCACCUCAGUCUUCACCUCUGUCAUCACAUGGCCUUCUCCCUGUGUGCGUCUCUGUUUGCGUCUUUUCUAAUUUUUUUAAAUAAAGACAUUAGUUACAUUGGAUUAAGAGCCCACCUCAUCUUAAUUACAUCAGCAACAACCCUGUUUCCAAAUAAGGUCAUAUUCUGAGGCUCUGAAUAGGAUAUGAUUUUGGGGCGACACUCUUCAGUCCAGUACAAACCCCCUUUUAGUUCCUGCUAGCGUGCCUGGUCCCAUUCUAUCUUAGCAUUUGAACAUUCUAUUUCCUCUGCCUGAGACUCCUUUUUGCCUGCUCCUUACCAGGCCAAAGCCUACUCAUUCUUCAGGAUUUCUCCUUAAAUGUCAUUUCCUCCUAAUGCCCAGGUGCUUCAUAGGAUCUUGUACCUUUCCAGUGGUGGCCUUAUCACAUUUGAACUCACUUGUUUGUACAAUUACUGAUGAUAUCUCAGUCUCUCCUGUUAUAUCACCAUCCCUACGAGGAUAUGGGCAAGGACCAUGUCUGUCUUGCUCUGUGCUGUAUCCCUAGCACCUAGAACAGGGCGGGGCACAUAGUAGGUGCUCCAUAACCAGUGUCGAAUGAUUGGUUGUGGAUGGAGAGAUUCUACGGGUCUGGGACAGCUGUCCUUUGAAAGCACUUUGUGUCUCCCCAGACUAGGGCACUUAGUGUGUGGGAUUGAAAUGUCCCAUUUGUCUACCUUUGUGAGUCUGUAAGCUUCUAGAGGGCAGAGUUUAGGCAAUGGCCAUAUUUUUAUAUCCAGAGCCUGGCACACAUAGGAACUCAACAAAGGUUUGUUGAAUGAACGAAAGAAUGCAUGUAUGCAUGAAUGACGGGGACCUCUCUGGGUUUUAAAGCAUCCCUGGGAAAUAAAAGCAGAGCAAAAAUAAAUUUAAGCAUCAGGAACGGCAGCAGGGGUUGGGAUGCAAAAUAAGACGAGGGUAAAACAAAAGCUGAUAACCUGACUUAGAAAAAUACUGGUAGUCACCACACACAGCAUGACAGGAUGUGCUCCUCUGCAGCUGAGCAGAGGGUUGGGGGGUGGGGUGGGGGUUGAGGGGUGGGGUCCCAUGGAAUUUCCCCAGCUGAACUUUAUGCCUUGAAUGAGGUCUGUCUUUCAGUGUGAAAGAAAGAAGAGUCAAGGUUUUAGCCAGGGCCUCUGGGUGAGUGGUGCUUCCAUUUAUGGAGACAGGGUCAACAGUGGGAGGAGCACACCUUCCCAGGCGCCAAACCUCCAGUGAUGUCUUCAGCUGCUGCACUUGUUCAUGUCAGGCUUAGUACAUUUUAUAAGUUGCCUUCUAUGGUUACAUAUUUUUCAGCUGCAUACCUUGCUACCUUAUUUAGUCUUUAAAUUCCUUUGGGGGAAGAAACUUUUUUUUUUUAAUUUGUCUAAGAAGUAGGUAUUGAAGCAGAAUGGUUAAACGUCCGAGUUGUAUGUGCUUGGGUGAGUGUUUUAGUUGAUUAACUUUUCCUCCUUCUUAUUUUUUAAUUUAUGUAUAUAUUUUUGGUCAAAUGGGGACAACAGUAUUGUCUCCCCUCUAGGUCUUUGUGAGGGCGAAGUGAGAUUUGCAUGUCAGGUGCCUGCUUGGGUCUGGCAUGCAAUUGACACUUGGAAAGGGGUGGUUAUUCUAUCACUUGGUUCCCCCUUCCCAUUAGAUUUCUGUGCUGCUGGCCUUCCUACCUCAGUGUCACCUAAUUUGGAGCAAUUUGAGAUGAGAGCAUCACUUUUCCCCUUUCCAUAUCUUCAUGCAAAAAUGGGAGGGCUGGGACAGGCUGCAAGACACGAGGAGGUGGCUUUGUGCUGUCUCUGGAAAAACCUAUGUGUAUCCUCAGCUUUGAGAACUGAAUUCCAUGGGUCGUCUCAGUGUCAGACCUGUGAAGUUCAGUUCUUCAGCUGGGAUAUCUCUGUCAUCACGGACCUGAGGGACCCUGAGAGAACAGAUCCAAGGCCUGCUGAAGAACAUGGAAGACUAGAAAGAGAAGGGCAAAGUCUCGGGCUGUGAAUGAAUAGGUAGCAUGGGUUCAGGGGAAAAGCACUCAUUUAAUUGCUUGAAGACCUUAGUUCUAGCUGAAUGAAUGAUUUCAGCAAGUCACUUCCUACUGCUGCUGCUACUACUAGUUUACCUGUAUUGAUUGCUUACGAUGACCCAGGUACUCUUCUGAGUGCUGUACAUGCUGUUUUAGGAGACUCCUGGGAAAAAUCACUGUAAUGAGACUUGAGACAUCUGGCACUGCUAUGCAAUGAUUUUUUUCCUUCUUCAUGGGUUCAGACAGAAUUAGUAGAUGUGCAAUUAUUUUUUAUCACUGCCGAGGUUACUGGUCUUUUUUUUUUUUUUUUAAAGAUAGUCCACACAUCUGUGGUGAAAGAGGAGGAAAAACAUGGGUACACCAUGACUUAUGGGCCUCCUCUCCGCUUAUUUGAAUCUCUGCUUCCUUCCCCACUAUAAACAAUUAGGGCUUAAUAGCGCCCUCGUAUUCCAAAUGUUAGCCGAUUCGGGGAUUAGGGUCCGUGCCCCGGAGCAGUCGAGCCAAUAAAAUGUACUCCAAGUCAGAAAGAGUGAGAAGGUUUAUUCUGGAGAUGAAUACAUCACCAGGACUGGCAGUAACACAGGCUGUCUCUCUGGAGUCCCAGAAAGCAAUUUUACUUUAGUUUAUAUAGACUUUUACAGAAGUUAGAAGUGUCUUUGUAGUUACUUGGCCAGAUGUAUGCUCAAGAGGAGUUAUUCAUUACAGGGUAGUGACAAAAGAUACCUGUCAGACAUCUCUUUAUUAGGCUAAAGAUACACAUACCAGAUACCUGGGCUCUGAUUUUCCUGUGGGGGUUGUAUGCCACAGGUGGUUGGAAAGAACAAAAGGUUAUUUGCAUCAGUUUAAAACAAAGUCAUUUCGGUCAAAACAAAGUCAUUAACAGAGGUAUGUGAAGGAGGCAGGCAGAGGAAGAACAACUUAUAGGUUCAUCAUGGUGUUAGUUACGUCAAGCUCUCAGUUGCCCAUUUUGAAAAAGGAGAAAACAUGCUGGGGAGUAUCAGGGUCACAUGAACAAGGAAAAGCGGUUGUAAUUAGAUUUUAUCAUCAUCCUCAGUCUCUCCCAGGGAAAAGUAGUACAAAGCUUUUGAAUACCCCCCUUCUUUUGCUGGAGAGUCCCUGAGUGGUACACACAGUAAAAUUCUCAGUUGCUAACUGAAAGGUUGGAGGUUCAAGUCUACCCAGAGGUGCCCUGGAAGAAAGGUCUGGUGAUCUACUUUAGAAAAAUCAGCCAUUAAAAACCCUAUGGAGCACAGUUCUCCUGACACACAUGGGGUCGCCAUGAGUCAGAGUCGACUCGAGAGUACCUGGUUGGGUUCCAUUUUCUGGAAUGGUUUGUUGCCUGUUGUGGGUAAAGCUCUUUUGUUGUACUUCUCUGUCACCAAGUAAGCCAGGCCUGUUCUGAGGUUCAGGACUGCUGAGACGAUGAUAGUUUCCAUCUAAUUUAGGCAGAGGGCUGAGGGCAGCGAAAGUUCUAUCUGGACUUUAUUUGGCUUUUGUUUGAUAGGGAAUAAAGGAUGUGAUUUGUUUUUUGGAAACUCAUUUUUGAUUCAUUUCUGUCUCUUGGUGUCCUGAAAUUUCUACCUCAUUGUAUACUGAUGAUGUUGAAUUUUACCUAAGCCAUAUGAUCCUGGAAAAGAGUGAUGCUUAAAGAAAUCCCCUUAACCUCUUUUGAGUUCUGGAAAACAGCUUACUGCAAAGAACUGACCAAGAUGGUCUUCGUGAUCUCCUCUGCUUGAAUAAACUUUAGACAGGCUCCUUCUACCCUUAUCUCCCUCUCCCUCUCUGGGUCUCCCAGGAUCCAGGUGGCCUUCUUACAAGAAAAGAAAGCAUUCUGAGUCAAUUGGCCCUAAUUACAAACUCUAAAUCACUCACCCAUCCCAGUGAUCAACCCCUCUUGAUUUUCUUCAUUAUUUGUCCACUAGCCCACACCAGCUUUUAAAAAUCUUGCAAGCCUUAAUUCCAGGGAGUUGAACUCAGACUUGGGUCUGUUUCAUGCCCCAUUGCAAUGGCUUUCCCCCUCCACCACACAGUGUUCUUGCCCCCCCCCGCUUACGAUAGUCCUUCCCCUCCUUCUUGCAAUAAUUUUUUUUAUAAAGUCAGCCUUGCCUGUUUAACAUUAUCUUGUGUUAUUUUUUGACGGUAGUCUAAAGAAUGAAAGUGUGCUUUGGUCCAGAGAGGGGAGGCAGGCACAAGGUGGGAGACCCUGCAGUACAUUGAUCCUCACCUUGUCCUCUCAGUGACACUGACAUUUACUGAGUGCACUGUGCUGGGCAUUCCGCUCAGGGCUUUGUGUGCACGAUCAUAGUGAACCUCACACCAAGCCUUGUCACGAAAAUGGGGACGAUUUCAUAAAAUAAUGUCAACUAAAAAAGUAUAAACACUUUUUUUCAGAAGCAGAUGCAAAAGCGUCCUUGGUUCCCAUGAAACCCCCUAGCAUGAGUGUAUCCUCAGGCUGUACUUAUCAAAUCAAGGACCUCACCAGUCCCUCUCACACUCUGCCCACUUCCGCCCUUUGCUUAUCAGACUGUGCAUUUUGCCAGUGACUCAUUCCACACAUAGAGCUUUGGUGAAACACAGCUGAGACCAGACAGCAGUGUGUUCAGCCCUGGACACCUGAAGAAAUCCAGAAAUCUGACUCAAAAAAAAAAAAAAAAAACCAAA